rnacentral:rRNA from 1 species
AACGAACGCUGGCGGCGUGCCUAACACAUGCAAGUCGUGCGAGAAAGUUCCUUCGGGAGCGAGUAAAGCGGCGCACGGGUGAGUAACACGUAGGUAACCUGCCCCCCAGUCUGGAACAACUAGAGGAAACUCUAGCUAAUGCCGGAUGAGACCACGAUCCCUUCGGGGGUUGCGGCCAAAGAUGGCCUCUACUUGUAAGCUAUCGCUGAGGGAUGGGCCUGCGGGCCAUUAGCUUGUUGGUGAGGUAACGGCUCACCAAGGCUGUGAUGGCUAGCUGGUCUGAGAGGAUGACCAGCCACACUGGGACUGAGACACGGCCCAGACUCCUACGGGAGGCAGCAGUGGGGAAUAUUGCGCAAUGGGCGAAAGCCUGACGCAGCGACGCCGCGUGGGUGAGUGAAGGGCCUCGGUUCGGUAAAGGUACCCGUACGUU